rnacentral:rRNA from 1 species
AUUGAACGCUGGCGGCAGGCCUAACACAUGCAAGUCGAACGGUAACAGGAAGCAGCUUGCUGCUUUGCUGACGAGUGGCGGACGGGUGAGUAAUGUCUGGGAAACUGCCCGAUGGAGGGGGAUAACUACUGGAAACGGUAGCUAAUACCGCAUAACGUCGCAAUACCAAAGAGGGGGACCUUAGGGCCUCUUGCCAUCGGAUGUGCCCAGAUGGGAUUAGCUAGUAGGUGGGGUAACGGCUCACCUAGGCGACGAUCCCUAGCUGGUCUGAGAGGAUGACCAGCCACACUGGAACUGAGACACGGUCCAGACUCCUACGGGAGGCAGCAGUGGGGAAUAUUGCACAAUGGGCGCAAGCCUGAUGCAGCCAUGCCGCGUGUAUGAAGAAGGCCUUCGGGUUGUAAAGUACUUUCAGCGGGGAGGAAGGGAGUAAAGUUAAUACCUUUGCUCAUUGACGUUACCCGCAGAAGAAGCACCGGCUAACUCCGUG